UAAUACGGAGGGUGCAAGCGUUAUCCGGAUUCACUGGGUUUAAAGGGUGUGUAGGCGGGCUAUUAAGUCAGUGGUGAAAUCUCAGGGCUCAACCCUGAAACUGCCAUUGAUACUAUUAGUCUUGAAUAUCGUUGAGGUUGGCGGAAUAUAUCAUGUAGCGGUGAAAUGCAUAGAUAUGAUAUAGAACACCGAUUGCGAAGGCAGCUAACUAAGCGAUGAUUGACGCUGAGGCACGAAAGCGUGGGGAUCAAACAGGAUUAGAUACCCUGGUAGUCCACGCCCUAAACUAUGAUUACUCGACAUACGCGAUACACAGUGUGUGUCUGAGCGAAAGCAUUAAGUAAUCCACCUGGGAAGUACGUCCGCAAGGAUG
rnacentral:rRNA from 1 species